GAUUUGGCCCCAGUUGGUAGAGAAUGAGAAUCUUAAUCUCAGGAUCGUGAGUUUGAGCCCCACAUUGGACA
rnacentral:tRNA from 1 species